GUUGUUUUCCUUCAGUGUGAGGCAGCUUUUAAAAGGUCCCGGGGAGAUGCUUUACCUUUACAUGCCCAUCUCCUGGGAUUUUUAAGAUAAACAUGCCCACUUUUUGCUGUUGCUGUCUCUCAGCUUCUUCAGAAGAGUGACUGCUCCUCUGCUCUCCGGCCCCAAAUGGCACCGCUAAGAAACUUCUGAGAAUCUCUCCUUCCUCUCGUCAAGUUUUGAUUUCAGCACAUCAGCAUUUCUGAUCGAGGGGGGGGGGAAAAAAGGAAAGCAUACAAAUCCCAAACAAUGCAUUUCUUGGAAAACUCCCAGCUGUACAACCAGGUAAUGUACCGGGCAUUGAGGAGAGCUGCCUUCGGUGCAAGACCUGGGGGAGUCGCUCAGGACUGCCAACAAACCCAGUUUGGAAAUGACUGAUGAGGGCAGCCAGCGGUAACAGAAGAACUCCCACAGGCCAAGGAAGGGU
ensembl:lncRNA